UUUUUUUUUUUUUUUUUGAGACAGAGUCUUGCUCUGUUGCCCAGGCUGGAGUGCAGUGGCGUGAUCUCGGCUCACUGCAAGCUCUGCCUCCCGGGUUGAUGCCAUUCUCCUGCUUCAGCCUUCUGAGUAGCUGGGACUACAGGCGCCUGCCACCACACCUGGUUAAUUUUGUGUGUUUUUUAGUAGAGACAGGGUUUCACCGUGUUAGCCAGGAUGGUCUCCAUCUCCUGACUUCGUGAUCCACCCACCUUGGCCUCCCAAAGUGCUGGGAUUACAGGCAUGAGCCACCAUGCUGGGCCAUUUUUAAAAUUUUUUCAAAAGAAGUCUCAUGCAUCUAUCAAGAUAUUUCCAAAUAAAAGGAAGUUUUCAGUUUGACAAAGCUAUAAAAUACAAAUAAUCAAUAUAGAAACAACAUGAUGAUAAUAGUCAUGUUAACAUUUAUAGACUACUUACUACAUAACACUCACUUUGUUAGGUGCUUUUCAUCAUUUAAUCCACAACAAAUCAUUAGAUAUUAUCAUCCUAAUUUUACAGAAGAGAAAACAAAAACGCUUUGAGAGUUGCUUAAUAACUUACCCAAAUUUACAUAUGCUAAUAAUCAAUUCAGCCUCUAAUUUCAAAGAUCCUGCCACCAUCCUAUAAGUAGUUCUUUAAAAAGGGAUAAUAACCCUCCAACACACAAUCACACACACAUACGAACACCCAGGUUCAGUUUUAUCUGUCUCUCUUUAUGGUCUGCUUGCUUUGAAUAUCUCAAAAUUCAAUCAUAUCAAGAAAGAAAGCUGGGAGCUGGAAGCUGAAAAAAAUACUACCCACACUGAGUUGGUCAUUGGUAAUAAAUAAAUUAAUCAAUAAGGUGAAGAAUAGGAAGAGUUUAAACAAGAAAGUUUUCAACAUGUUAUGCUUUAAUUAAUUGUGAAUUGAAGUAAUUCUUGGGAAAAAAGGACAGUAUUUUUAGAAAAGCAAUUAAAUUUAGCCGAUAGGUGUCACUGACACUAAGGUCAUUUCAACAAAAAGGAUUUUCGAAGUAAC
rnacentral:lncRNA from 1 species